CAGCCGCCGCGGUAAUACCGGCGGCUCGAGUGGUGGCCACUUUUAUUGGGUCUAAAGCGUCCGUAGCCGGCUUGGCAAGUCCCCUGGGAAAUCUGGCGGCUUAACCGUCAGGCGUCCAGAGGAUACUGCCAGGCUUGGGACCGGGAGAGGUGAGAGGUACCUCAGGGGUAGGGGUGAAAUCUUGUGAUCCCUGAGGGACCACCAGUGGCGAAGGCGUCUCACUAGAACGGGUCCGACGGUCAGGGACGAAAGCUGGGGGCACGAACCGGAUUAGAUACCCGGGUAGUCCCAGCCGUAAACGAUGCUCGCUAGGUGUCAGGCAUGGCAUGACUGUGCCUGGUGCCGAAGGGAAGCCGUGAAGCGAGCCACCUGGGAAGUACGGCCGCAAGGCUGAAACUUAAAGGAAUUGGCGGG
rnacentral:rRNA from 1 species